rnacentral:rRNA from 1 species
AGAGUUUGAUCCUGGCUCAGAACGAACGCUGGCGGCAUGCCUAACACAUGCAAGUCGAACGAAGCCUUCGGGCUUAGUGGCGCACGGGUGCGUAACACGUGGGAAUCUGCCCUUUGGUUCGGAAUAACAGUUAGAAAUGACUGCUAAUACCGGAUAAUGACGUAAGUCCAAAGAUUUAUCGCCGAAGGAUGAGCCCGCGUAGGAUUAGGUAGUUGGUGGGGUAAUGGCCCACCAAGCCGACGAUCCUUAGCUGGUCUGAGAGGAUGAUCAGCCACACUGGGACUGAGACACGGCCCAGACUCCUACGGGAGGCAGCAGGUGGGGAAUAUUGGACAAUGGGCGAAAGCCUGAUCCAGCAAUGCCGCGUGAGUGAUGAAGGCCUUAGGGUUGUAAAGCUCUUUACCAGGGAUGAUAAUGACAGUACCUGGAGAAUAAGCUCCGGCUAACUCCGUG